AUGCUUUUGACGAGUCCCAAAUUGGAGGAAAUGCGCAUCCUGGAU
rnacentral:hammerhead_ribozyme from 1 species